rnacentral:rRNA from 1 species
AUUGAACGCUGGUGGCAUGCUUUACACAUGCAAGUCGAGCGGCAGCGCGGGGGCAACCCUGGCGGCGAGCGGCGAACGGGUGAGUAAUGCAUCGGAACGUAUCCUCGAGUGGGGGAUAACCCAGCGAAAGUUGGGCUAAUACCGCAUGAGCUCUGAGGAGGAAAGCGGGGGACCUGCGAGGGCCUCGCGCUGGAGGAGCGGCCGAUGUCCGAUUAGCUAGUUGGUGGGGUAAAGGCUUACCAAGGCGACGAUCGGUAGCUGGUCUGAGAGGAUGAUCAGCCACACUGGGACUGAGACACGGCCCAGACUCCUACGGGAGGCAGCAGUGGGGAAUUUAGGACAAUGGGGGCAACCCUGAUCCAGCCAUGCCGCGUGAGUGAAGAAGGCCUUCGGGUUGUAAAGCUCUUACGGACGGAACGAAAUGGGCGGGACUAAUACUCCUGUCUGAUGACGGUACCGUAAGAAGAAGCACCGGCUAACUACGU